AGAUUUGAUUUAAUUUUUAUUUCCUUCCUUUUGAAUACACUCCCUAAAAUAACCUUUUAGGGAAUUAAGUGUUUCAAAUCGUUUACUGUGAAGAAAUUAGAGUGUUCAAAGCAGGCGUAACCUAGCCUUUGAAUAUAUUAGCAUGGGAUAAUGAAAUAGGACUUUAGUUCUACUUUCGUUGGUUUCUAGGGCUGAAGUAAUGAUUAAUAGGGAUAGUUGGGGUCACUAGUAUUUAAUUGUCAGAGGUGAAAUUCUAAGAUUUAUUAAAGACUAACUACUGCGAAAGCAUUUGACAAGGAUGUUUUCAUUAAUCAAGAACGAAAGUUGGGGGAUCGAAGAUGAUCAGAUACCGUCGUAGUCUCAACCAUAAACUAUGCCGACCAAGGAUCCGGGGUUGUUAAUAUGGAUGACUCUCCGGGCACUUAUAGAGAAAUCAUAAGUAUUUGGGCUCCGGGGGGAGUAUGGUCGCAAGGCUGAAACUUAAAGGAAUUGACGGAAGGGCACCACAAGGAGUGGAACCUGCGGUUUAAUUUGACUCAACACGGGAAAACUUACCAGGUCCAGACACAGUGAGGAUUGACAGAUUGAGAGUUCUUUCUUGAUUCUGUGAGUGGUGGUGCAUGGCCGUUUCUAGUUGGUGGAGUGAUUUGUCUGGUUAAUUCCGUUAACGAACGAGACCUUAACCUAUUAAAUAGUUACUUAAACUUGAUUUCUUGUAAAUCAAAUGUUUAAUUAACUUCUUAGAGGGACUCUUCAC
rnacentral:rRNA from 1 species